rnacentral:rRNA from 1 species
UACGUAGGGGGCAAGCGUUGUCCGGAAUCAUUGGGCGUAAAGAGCGUGUAGGCGGCCCGGUAAGUCUGUUGUGAAAGUCCAGGGCUCAACCCUGGAAAGCCGAUGGAUACUGCCGGGCUAGAGUUCGGAAGAGGCGAGUGGAAUUCCUGGUGUAGCGGUGGAAUGCGCAGAUAUCAGGAGGAACACCGAUGGCGAAGGCAGUUCUCUGGGCCGUACUGACGCUGAGGAGCGAAAGCGUGGGGAGCGAACAGG